rnacentral:siRNA from 1 species
AUCAUAGUCAUGUCGUGUCUCAAU